rnacentral:rRNA from 1 species
UUCGCCCUUAGAGUUUGAUCCUGGCUCAGAACGAACGCUGGCGGCAGGCUUAACACAUGCAAGUCGAACGCCCCUUUCGGGGGGAGUGGCAGACGGGUGAGUAACACGUGGGAACGUACCUCUUUGUUCGGAAUAACUCAUGGAAACGUGAGCUAAUACCGGAUACGCCCUUUUGGGGAAAGAUUUAUCGCAGAGAGAUCGGCCCGCGUCUGAUUAGCUAGUUGGUGAGGUAAUGGCUCACCAAGGCGACGAUCAGUAGCUGGUCUGAGAGGAUGAUCAGCCACACUGGGACUGAGACACGGCCCAGACUCCUACGGGAGGCAGCAGUGGGGAAUAUUGGACAAUGGGGGCAACCCUGAUCCAGCCAUGCCGCGUGAGUGAUGAAGGCCUUAGGGUUGUAAAGCUCUUUUAUCCGGGAAGAUAAUGACUGUACCGGAAGAAUAAGCCCCGGCUAACUUCGUGCCAGCAGCCGCGGUAAUACGAAGGGGGCUAGCGUUGUUCGGAAUCACUGGGCGUAAAGGGCGCGUAGGCGGACGAUUAAGUCAGGGGUGAAAUCCCGGGGCUCAACCUCGGAAUUGCCCUUGAUACUGGUUGUCUUGAGAUUGGAAGAGGUAAGUGGAAUUGCGAGUGUAGAGGUGAAAUUCGUAGAUAUUCGCAAGAACACCGGUGGCGAAGGCGACUUACUGGUCCAUAUCUGACGCUGAGGCGCGAAAGCGUGGGGAGCAAACAGGAUUAGAUACCCUGGUAGUCCACGCCGUAAACGAUGGAUGCCAGCUGUUGGGGAGCAUGCUCUUCAGUGGCGCAGUCAACACAUUAAGC